CAAUAGCGUAUAUUAAAGUUGUUGCAGUUAAAAAGCUCGUAGUUGGAUUUCUGCUGAGGACGAUCGGUCCGCCCACUGGGUGAGUAUCUGGCUCGGCCUUGGCAUCUUCUUGGAGAACGUUGCUGCACUUGACUGUGUGGCGCGGUAUCCAGGACUUUUACUUUGAGGAAAUUAGAGUGUUUCAAGCAGGCGCACGCCUUGAAUACAUUAGCAUGGAAUAAUGAGAUAGGACCUUGGUUCUAUUUUGUUGGUUUCUAGAGCUGAGGUAAUGAUUAAUAGGGAUAGUUGGGGGCAUUCGUAUUUAACUGUCAGAGGUGAAAUUCUCGGAUUUGUUAAAGAUGGACUACUGCGAAAGCAUUUGCCAAGGAUGUUUUCAUUGA
rnacentral:rRNA from 1 species